rnacentral:piRNA from 1 species
UAUUGUGUGCUGUUUCUACUCAAGAUGAGGA